GACGAACGCUGGCGGCGUGCCUAAUACAUGCAAGUCGAACGCACAGUUUAUACCGUAGCUUGCUACACCAUAGACUGUGAGUUGCGAACGGGUGAGUUACGCGUAGGUAACCUGCCUGGUAGCGGGGGAUAACUAUUGGAAACGCUAGCUAAUACCGCAUAAUACUGAUUAUUGCAUGAUAAUUGAUUGAAAGAUGCUAUUGCAUCGCUACCAGAUGGACCUGCGUUGUAUUAGCUAGUAGGUGAGGUAACGGCUCACCUAGGUGAGGAUACAGAGCCGACAGGAGAGGGUGGUCGGCCACCCUGGGAGGGAGACACGGCACAGAGGCCUAGAGGAGGCGGCAGUAGGGAUACUUGGGCAAGGGGCGAGAGUCUGACCGAGCAGGGCCGAGUGAGUAAAGAAGGUUUUCGGGUCGGAAAGCUCGGUUGUAAGAGAAGAAAGGGUGUGAGAGUGGAAAGAUCACACUGUGACGGUAUCUGACCAGAAAGGGACGGCUAACUACGUG
rnacentral:rRNA from 1 species